rnacentral:rRNA from 1 species
UACGUAGGGUGCAAGCGUUGUCCGGAUUUAUUGGGCGUAAAGAGCUCGUAGGCGGUUUGGCAAGUUGGGUGUGAAAACUCCAGGCUCAACCUGGAGAUGCCACCCAAGACUGCUAUGACUUGAGUCUGGUAGGGGAGCACGGAAUUCCUGGUGUAGCGGUGAAAUGCGCAGAUAUCAGGAAGAACACCCGUGGCGAAGGCGGUUCUCUGGGACGGUACUGACGCUGAGACGCGAAAGCGUGGGGAGCGAACAGG